rnacentral:rRNA from 1 species
AUUGAACGCUGGCGGCAUGCUUUACACAUGCCAGUCGAACGGUAACAGGCCUUCGGGUGCUGACGAGUGGCGCACGGGUGAGUAAUGCAUCGGAACGUGCCCAGAGGUGGGGGAUAACGCAGCGAAAGCUGUGCUAAUACCGCAUGUGAUCUGAGGAUGAAAGCGGGGGACCAGGCAGCAAUGUUUGGCCUCGCGCCUUUGGAGCGGCCGAUGUCAGAUUAGGUAGUUGGUGGGGUAAAGGCCUACCAAGCCGACGAUCUGUAGCUGGUCUGAGAGGACGACCAGCCACACUGGGACUGAGACACGGCCCAGACUCCUACGGGAGGCAGCAGUGGGGAAUUUUGGACAAUGGGCGCAAGCCAGAUCCAGCAAUGCCGCGUGCGGGAAGAAGGCCUUCGGGUUGUAAACCGCUUUUGUACGGAACGAAAAGGCUCUGGCUAAUACCUGGGGCUGAUGACGGUACCGUAAGAAUAAGCACCGGCUAACUACGUG